GGGCCUGACCAGCUCAACAGGUAGAGCAUGGCAUUAACGUUGCCAGGGAUAGGAGUUCAAUUCCCACUGGGACCA